AGUGAACGCUGGCGGUAGGCCUAACACAUGCAAGUCGAACGGCAGCACAGUAAGAGCUUGCUCGUACGGGUGGCGAGUGGCGGACGGGUGAGGAAUACAGCGGAAUCUACUUUUUCGUGGGGGAUAACGUAGGGAAACUUACGCUAAUACCGCAUAUGACCUGCGGGUGAAUGCAGGGGAUCUUCGGACUUUGUGCGAAUGAAUGAGCCGAUGUCGGAAUAGCUAGUUGGCGGGGUAAAGGCCCACCAAGGCGACGAUCCGUAGCUGGUCUGAGAGGAUGAUCAGCCACACUGGAACUGAGACACGGUCCAGACUCCUACGGGAGGCAGCAGUGGGGAGUGUUGGACAAUGGGCGCAAGCCUGAUCCAGCCAGACCGCGUGGGUGAAGAAGGCCUUCGGGUUGUAAAGCCCUUUUGUUGGGGAAGAAGAGCAGGGGGGUAAUACCCCGCUGUGCUGACGGUACCCAAAGAAUAAGCGCCGGCUGGCUUCGUG
rnacentral:rRNA from 1 species